AAGCAUAUAAUUAAGCGGAGGAAAAGAAACUAACCAGGAUUCCCUCAGUAAGGGCGACUGAAGCGGGAAGUGCUCAGGAUGUGAAUCUGCGCUGUAUUUGCGCCGAAUUGUGGUCUGUAGACGGUGGCAUUACCAGCCGGGCCAAGUCCCUUGGAACAGGGCAGCUGAGAGGGUGAGACUCCCGUUCGCCUGGCAGGGUGAGCUACUAGUCGACGAGUCGAGUUGUUUGGGAUUGCAGCUCAAAGUGGGUGGUAAAUUCCAUCUAAAGCUAAAUAUUGGUGGGAGACCGAUAGCGUACAAGUACCGUGAGGGAAAGAUGCAAAGAACUUUGAAAAGAGAGUUAAAGAGUACCUGAAAUUGCUGAAAGGGAAGCGAAGGAAACCAGUGUUGGCUAUGUCAUAUUUCCCUGUCCGCUUGCGGUUCGGGCGCUGUGGCAUGCCUUUGUUGUUUUUGGUUGGGACCUUUGGAAGAGCGCAGUGAGAGUUGAUCUCUGUUGCUAGCACUGGUCUUGACUGAGGAGGACGAAAUGGUUUUCUUUACCCCGUCUUG
rnacentral:rRNA from 1 species